CGCUGGCGGCGUGCUUAACACAUGCAAGUCGAACGAUGAAGCCCUUCGGGGUGGAUUAGUGGCGAACGGGUGAGUAACACGUGGGCAAUCUGCCCUUCACUCUGGGACAAGCCCUGGAAACGGGGUCUAAUACCGGAUACCACUCCUGCCCGCAUGGGCGGGGGUUGAAAGCUCCGGCGGUGAAGGAUGAGCCCGCGGCCUAUCAGCUUGUUGGUGGGGUAAUGGCCCACCAAGGCGACGACGGGUAGCCGGCCUGAGAGGGCGACCGGCCACACUGGGACUGAGACACGGCCCAGACUCCUACGGGAGGCAGCAGUGGGGAAUAUUGCACAAUGGGCGAAAGCCUGAUGCAGCGACGCCGCGUGAGGGAUGACGGCCUUCGGGUUGUAAACCUCUUUCAGCAGGGAAGAAGCGAAAGUGACGGUACCUGCAGAAGAAGCGCCGGCU
rnacentral:rRNA from 1 species